rnacentral:lncRNA from 10 species
UGCCGUUCUGUGUGUACACAUCUGGAAAUGUGCUAGUCACACCAUUUAUUUAACUCCUAGAACUUUAACAAACUCUGCUGUCAAGUUAAAGUAACUGUUCAUCUUCUAAGAGAUUCACUCAGGGCUGGCCAGGUCAGCUAGAACACUGAGUCCUUGCAGAACAAACUGCUACUGAGAUGGAGACCCCUUCCCCAGCCCACAGCCGGUAAAAAACCAAACACAACUGGAAGACUGUGGACGUCACUGCAUUUGGGAUGGAGGGAGGAGCAUCCAGCUAGUGGUCCACAAGGAAACAGCAUCUCUCCAAAACCAGGGACACGGCAGCAGGCCCGACACGACCUCCACAACCUCGGCCGCAGCAGGCAUCGAUCAGGGGCCUCUGCAGCGUGCUUGGCCACUGCGUGGUGGCAGGAAGACUGGACCCUCGAUUCACUUUGCUUCUGGACGUCCUGGUGGCUAAUGAGAUGGUAGCAUUUCCUCCACUGGUAAGCACCAGCAGCAGGGCACUGUUGAGAGGACAAUGGUCCUUCCACGCCGGCUUCAUACUCCCCUGUGGACUCCCUACACCUCCAUCCACUGACAGCCUGAGAAUGGUCAUAUGUGUGCACACUAGACAAGCUAAAGCUACCUCGCUGUGGGUAAGACGGUGGACUCUGAUGUCGUAUCCAAGUUCAAAUCUCUACCCACUGUGUCCCUGCUGUGAUGGGGAAGUUGGUCUCCCCGUCUUCGCCAUGGGAGCACUGUCAUGCUGACCCCGCUGUGCUGAUGUGGUAAGUGCUGAGAUAACACCAAGUCAAGGACAUGGCCGAGCAUCUGGUGCUUGGAAGAGCCAGAAGGACAGUGGACAUUAGGGUCCUCACUAUCAUCGUCCUGCCCCCACCCCACCAUCCGUUUGCCCUUCUGAUGGGCGCCUGCUCCUCUCCUGACAGGUGCAGCCACUAAGCAGCCCUGUCAGGAGGUGGAGGGCAGGAGGAAGGAGUGCCAAGAGUGUUCUCCUCCCAGGCCACCCCCGACUCAGGGGCACAGCCAAUCCCAGUGCGGGGCAUCUCCUCCGGCUGAGCUCCCGUGGGACAGCUUCACAGUCCUGCUCCCACGAGGGACAUCCCUGCACCCCACUCUAGCACUUGCUGGUCUCUAUGUGACCCCCUGCUAAGAACCUGCUUCGAGUUCUUAGCUCUUCCACACUCAUGUGAGAAAAUGCUCCGGAUUAAUCUCUUCCUGCCAUGAGCACUCAGGAUGGCUUUCUGAUUGGACCCGAAUCAGUACUGGGCGUAGUCUUCUCUCUAGAAACCAAAGGUCCUGCAGUCUUGAAGGUCUCCAUCCCCGGAGAGUGAGAAGCUGCCCUGGAUGAAGUAAACACUAGCAGCACCCAGUUCUCAAGCUCCAUGAAGACCACACCUGGGCCCGUUCUGCUCCUACAAGCUCUGACCAGUAAAAUGGCACCUUCCAGUACCCCAGGCUCAGAUGGGAUGCUGGUGUCCAGGGAGAGCCUUCUCUCUUACAUCUCAGAGGGGGCUUGAAAGAUGGCAUAAGGAAGAGGAGCAGAAUGGCGCACAUACGUCAUGAGCAGUUGGUUGAAUCAGUUUCUUGCCUGGGCUACACUGGUCUUUCCUCGACGCAAACAAAUGCCAUUUCCUCAGGAGCCAAGAAUGAGGUGCUCUUUUCAAAUUUUCUGUGCUCCACAGAGCUGUGCUUAGAUGCUUCAUGCUGCUUCGAAGUUCUGAGGCAAGAUCCUAAGAUCCUGCAACCUCACAAGCUCACUUACAAAGCAUUACUGUAAUGCAUCCCAGCAAGAAGCUCUGUUUCACUGUAGCUUGGAGCACAAGAUUGCCUUGUAAAUAGGAAACGAUGAUGGAUGGAAGACAGCAGAGGCUUGUGGAAUUUUAACCCUGAUGGUAAGGCUGCCGCUAAGAAUAACCCUGCUGUGCUUCAGGCCAGGGAGGCUGAGCAGAAAACCCUCUUUUCUCAUUGCCCCACCUGCCUCUUCUGGACGCAAUCAGCCAAGGAGUGAACAGUCUUGUGGAUCCCUUGUCUGCAUAGCCUCAGAGCACUCUUGAGCCUGCGUUUUCAUCAUUCCCAGGCCUCCUGGAUGAAACUGAGCAGCCCUUGAUGCCUGCAGACAGUCUCCACUGAGCUUUCCUAGUUUAUCUUUAAGUCCUGUCCCAAGAGGUUUGUCAGUCUCUGUCAAAUAAGACAUGUUGCUCACACUGAGACCUUGUUCUUAUCCAGGCACAAAUAAACUGCUAUUUUCCAUGAUGCUUGGACUUCACUCUUGUUAACUUAUUAAGGCCCUAAGGGCCCAGAGGGACAAGUUCUAUUGUCAUCUGCAUUUAGUGAACGGAGUGUGUGGAUGUCACACGGCAGAGCCAAGACCCAUCACAUCUUCAGGCUACAUCACCCUGCUCACCGCAUGGCUCAUGGCAGGUGGCAGGUGAGGGUGACAGUGGAGGCACACUUUCCCUAGGAUGCUGUUACAGAGCUCAGGGGAUGUGGAAAGGCAUCACUUUGGAAGUGUUCCCCACACAUUAAAGUUACCUAUUCCUGAAGAUCCUUACAAAUGUUCAACCACUUUGGAGGGAUGUAUGCAUUGCCUCUUAUAAAGUAGGUUUUUAAAUUUGUCCUAAAUCCCCUUCCUCUCAAACGUGUUCUCAUUAGAGAACUCCAGGAUUUCAGCAGACAUAUCCACAUGCUCGUUUUCAAGGUCCUUCAUGAUAUCAGAGACCUGGAGCCAUAACCACUGACUGUUACCAGCCACACCCGUCUCAUCUGCAGCCUCUCCAGAAGCAAGGAAGCCAAGCUUCACCUGCCUGUGUGCUGAAGCUGCCUUUACCCUUCUUGAUUUGUGUUCUAGUGUUUUAUUCACAAAGUCUUUUCCUACCAAGGAUCUUUUUAAAAAUGUAUAUUUUCUUUUUAAAAAGUUUUGCUUCACAUAAUGAGAAAUGCCCCUGGAAGUUUUUCUAGCCAAUGUGAGUUCGGUAUGUAAUUUUAUUGUUUUUCAUUUGGAAAGCAAAUUGUCCUAGCUCUAUUGUUUGGCUACUCCAACUUUUUUCCCACUUCCCUGCUAGUUUUUAAUGGUCACUCUUUCAUAUAAUCACUUAUUUAUUUAAUCUAUUGGAUGCCUCUAGUAUGCCAGGCGCUGUUGUAAGUGCUGCUGAUAUGACACAAAGGCAGAAAACAGCCCUGCCCUCGUGGAGCGCAGAUUUUAGUGGACCUGGAGGAUUUUCCAGGCAGAGAAAAUACCAAGUACAGGGACAAGAAGCAGAAGUUCUGUGUGUUUGAGACACACUUGAGAAGGCAGUGUGUUGGGAAAAUAAAUAAGGUAGGAAAAGGAUAGAAGACAAGAUCAGAAAGGUAGCACCUAGAGCCCAAGCUAAAAAUUUCGGGAUGCAUUUAAGUGUGAUGAAAAUCCACCAAGAGUGAAAUCAGCGAGGCCGAUAAGAAAGCUCUUCACACAGUUUAGACAGCAGACAAUGGUGGCGGCUUAGACGCAUGUGCAAUGUAUGUAGUGCCCUAGGAAGAGUGACUGGAUUUUAGAUAUCACUUGAAGGUCAAGCUGAUGAAUUUGUGUAUAGUCAGAGGGAAAGGGAGAAGGUUUUUUUUUUUAUUGGAGUAAUUAUGUAAAAUAGUGGUGUCGUUUUAUUGAAAUAGAAAUCCUGCAGAAGCAGGUUCAAGGGCAGGAGUAGAAAGUGAAGACAAGAGUUCCAUUUCUAAAAUGUAAGCUUUACACACUUGUUAGACAUGGAGAUGUCUUGCAGACAGUUAGGAAUGCAUUCCAGGAGCUCAGGAGUUAGGGUUGUGGAUAUAAAUGUGGUUGUCUUUAGCACAUAGCUGAGAACUAAAGCCAUAGCAUGAGAUGAGGUCACCCAGCACAUGAGUAUAAUUAGAGAAGGUGGAUUUGUAUUGGCUUUUUUUUUUUUUUUUUUUGUAGACUGCAGUGGGAAAGUCAUUGGCCCCUUUCUAGACUUAAUUCUGUUUCAUUAAUCUACUGUUUAUCCAUGUGCUAAAAAACACAUUGAUUUAUUUAUUGUAACUUUAUCACGUCUUAAUUUCCAUAGGGUUUGCCCACCCAUAAUGUUUGUAUGCUGAUAAGAAAAAGCCAAUCAAAAGAGAGAAUUUGAUAAUGAAGAUCAAUAGUUGCAGGAUUAAAGUCCAUGAGUAGAUGAGAGAUGAUGAGACCCCCUGCCUUUGCCAGUGUAAAGAGUGACUCUAGAUAAGGAAGGUACUCAUUCCUGUAAUAGAUAAGAAAGAAAAAUGCUUGAGUCUGUAUUUCUGUUAUAUCCCAUUGAUCUAUUUUGACAGAAAUUACACUGAAUUUAUAAAUUAAUUCAAAACAAAUUGACAUGACAUUAUGCUUGUUUUUCCAUGAAUAAGGUUUACCUUUACUUUCUCUUUUUCUUAUCUUAUUGCAUUGGCUAGAAAUGUCAAUGUCUUUUUUGGGGCUUUAUUGAGGGUAUUUGGUGGGGAUAUGCUCAGUAAGUUUAACAUUUGUUAUAGAUUUCAGGUUAGGAAAAUUGCUUCUAUUCUUGGUUUGCUAA